CUCAUCUAAGGGCGUCUCCAGACUGUCACCCACCCCACCAUCCUCCCUGCGCUGGGGGUACUAAAUCCCAUGCAAAAAGACCUCGUCCAUUCCCAGAACUGGUCCAGACACCUGUUUACUCGUGCCCAAGGAGUGGUGGCUCUGAUUAAGGAAAGGUAGCGGUUGCCUCUCUGAUCCGUGCCAAGCUCCGCGGCCCCAGGGCAGGGACCACAUACCUUUGUAUCUCUCCAGGACAUCCUCGUAGGCCUGGAGGUACUCCUGCUCCUCCACGUACAGGACCCAAGAACCUUAACACAAUUCCGAGGUGAAGGAAAUGGGGAGCACCAGGCCCGGCCUCAUGGAGACCUGGGAGUCAGAACCUGAGAUCUGGAAUCAGCCAUUUCUCCAACAAGUUUGUGAUUGAUGGUUUCCAUGGGUGUCCUGCCUGCAUCCCUUCCACCUGGCCAAUGGACUCACAUACAGGCUACUGCCUCCUGAUUGAAGCACCUUGAACAGAGUGAUAAAAUUCUGGCUGGACUCGGCUGCUCUUCUUGAUUCUUCGUUUCCUCAC